rnacentral:rRNA from 1 species
GAGUUUGAUCUUGGCUCAGAACGAACGCUGGCGGCGUGGAUAAGACAUGCAAGUCGAACGGGAGAAUUGCUAGCUUGCUAAUAAUUCUCUAGCGGCGCACGGGUGAGUAACACGUGAGUAACCUGCCCCCGAGAGGCGGGAUAGCCCCGGGAAACUGGGAUUAAUACCGCAUAGUAUCGAAAGAUUAAAGCAGCAAUGCGCUUGGGGAUGGGCUCGCGGCCUAUUAGUUAGUUGGUGAGGUAACGGCUCACAAGGCGAUGACGGGUAGCCGGUCUGAGAGGAUGUCCGGCCACACUGGAACUGAGACACGGUCCAGACACCUACGGGUGGCAGCAGUCGAGAAUCAUUCACAAUGGGGGGAAACCCUGAUGGUGCGGACGCCGCGUGGGGGAAUGAAGGUCUUCGGAUUGUAAACCCCUGUCAUGUGGGAGCAAAUUAAAAAGAUAGUACCACAAGAGGAAGAGACGGCUAACUCUGUGCCAGCCG